rnacentral:lncRNA from 1 species
AUGACAAUACGUGAGUUUGGAGAGUUUUACUUAAAAUAAUUAUCUCAUAAUUCAAAGUACUCUGCGCUCUGCAUAGUUCAGCGCUUGCUCGCCGAGUUCUUCUGCGGCUUCCGCCGUCGCCGUGGUUCUCUUGUCCGCCGUCAAUUUUUCAAAUCUACUUGUUUAUUUUGAAAUGUUUGGUAAGAUCCCCAAAUCAUGUACCCUAAUUUUUUUGAAAUUGAUAAUACUUAGAUUUAGUUAAUCACGUUUUCUCCUCUACAUAAAAUUCAUUCGUUUAUUCUCUUUGUUGUUUUUUGGAAGUGAAUUUCGACAUUGUCUUUGCCUUUUAGUUUUUUUUUUCUUGUAUGAAUUUGGGAAUUUGUAGUGACGGAAAAUGAAAGGGGUUGGCAUGGUAAGUUUUUUCUGUUUAGCACUAUAGACUGAAAGGGGCAUUAAAUAGGGACACCUAUAUGAGAUUGACCUCAGAAUGCCCUACCCUCUGCAAACAUAUAGUUUGGUCCUGCAGUAGAUUUUAACUUCUUUAAAAGUAUACUUAUUCAAUUGAAAUAUAAGUAAUUUUGCAUGAAAGGUGCUAAAGAAAAAAGAUGCCAUGUCUGGACUAUGGCACCUGAAUAAUAGAAUCCAUUGAGGAAAGAUAAUACAAAAAAUGGAUUAGUCAAGCAGCAAUCUGGACUAGGAUUGGUCAGAGGUAAACUAAGGAAAUAUGUUUUCUUAUAAAUGUUUAUUUUAUAGUAUUACUUGGUUAACAGUUAAAUGUAUUCAGAAUUCAAUAAAUAUAUCAGCCACAAAGUUCAUUGUCAUUAAGAAAAUAAUAAGAUGCUCACCAAAAACACAGAUUAUAGUUGUGACAGAUACUCCAAUGAAACCUUCCCAUGUCUUCUUUGAAGAUAACUUGAUCAAAGGAGUUUUUCCAAAGAAAUAAGCAUCAAUUUCAUUGAUUACAAUUAGUGAUGCUGGAAGAAGGAACCUGCAUCAUAGCUAAACUGUUUGAAGUUCUUUCCUCAUCUUGUACUUGAAUGUCAAAGUAGCAUGCUCAAAAUUGUAGUAAGUACUUAAUGUAUAAUACUUUUAGAUACCAACUCAGGAAAAAGAUAAAAUCAACGAGUUAAAAUUCCAAAUAAUUCUUAUAAUUUAUAAUUUAUAAUUGCAACUACUCGUGGAUGAUGGAAGGAAUAAGAUUUGACAAAUAAUUCUUCACUUGUGAGCCAAAAAUUUUUGUUAAACAUAAUUCAUAGUAAUGUGUGAUGCAUUAAAUAGAGCAAAAGAAACAUAAACCAGAGGAACAUUAUAUAGGAGAGGAUUUACAUAUCAUAGUACAAGUCAUUCCUUGAGCAAUAUGCAACAGAUGUCAUGUCUCAUUAGGCAACAGUGGCCUUUUCUUCAACUGCAAUCACACAAAUUGAACUAGUUGGUUCCCCUAAGCUUCACAAUUCAUUGUUACUUGUACUGUGAUCACUCUUUAUAGGGCACUUAGAGAUUUAUGUAAUUGAAUCUGAUUCAAGUAAGAUAAAUUAGAGUUUCUAUAUCUUUUUAGUAUUAAUUGCAAAGAAAAUAUUAGGCAACUAUUUUUUCAGAAGCAGAAUUUGAGUUCCAAAAAUGCAUUAUCAAUUUUUUGUCAUUAAAAAGUAGAAUACUGAGAAAGACAUAGUAUAGUUUGUGUAAUAACCCAUAUUUUUUUUUUAAAAUUUAAAUAUUAAUUAAUUUUAUUGUAUACAAUUGUAUUUAAAUUGGAAAAGGUAAAUGAUUUUUGUUUCCCUCUUUUCUUCCUUGUUUUGUUUGAAAAAUUAAAUUCUUUUAGUUGGUAAUUAAAUAACUGAUUAAAUUAAAAUUGAGAAAGAUAAUUCCUUUUGUUAAAGUCUUGUGGUAAAAUCAUUCGGAGCGGGAAGCUACUUGGGAGAUAGAGGAGUCUAUUCGAGCGGAGUAUCCGCAUCUUUUGAUAAUUAGGUACGUUCAUUCUUUUGAUUCCGGGUACGGAAUCCUUUUUAAGGGGUAGGUAAUGUAAUACCUGGUAAAAAUAAAAUAAUAAUAAUAAUAAAUAAAUAAAAUAAUUAUAUAAUAUUUAAAUCAAUAUUUUAAUUGGGCUUUCUUAUGUUUGGGUAAAACAUUGUUUUUAAAUUAUGUGGACUAAAAUAAGUAAGAGAUUUCAUCAAUUUGGGCCUUAAAAUCAAUUGGGUUUAAUUUAAAUGUGGGUUAUAUUAAAUCAUAUUAAAAUUAGGAGAAUUAAUAAAUAAAACCUAACCUACUUCAGUAUUACACCCAAUGCAAAAAGGGAAAAGAACGGAGAACAGAGGCGGCACUAAGUAUCCGAACUUGAGAGAAAAAAAACCAAAGGCUCAAGUAAUUCACAUAUGUAGAGAGAAGGAAGUUGACAAAUUCAUACUGUAUUACUGUGAGGAGAUAAGAGGUAAAUAAUUAUUUGCUUUGACUUAGUUGUUAUUCAUGUAAGUCUUUGUUAUAAAUUGUUUAUUAAUCUAUUGAUGGAAACUACCCAUGCUAAUAGAUAAUUAAUUGAUUGAUAGUAUACAUGAGCAAUUUAGUACAGGCAUGAUAUCUAUAUAUAAGAAUAGAUUGCCAAAUUCAAAAAGUGGGUUUGAAAAAAAAAAUAAAAAAUAAAAAAAUCAGUAUCGUGAAUAAUAUAGCAAUGGACUCAGUUAAGAAAAAGUGUUGAUAAUGAUUUUGUAAUUGUCUUGGUUCUUAUGUUAACGGAAUGAAACUGCAAAAAAAAAAAAAUAUUAUGAAUAAUGGCUACUGUUAUGUAAAUGUGUUGUAUAGAGUGUAUAUAUAUUAGAGAUUCUGAUUUGUCAAAAAUAAAAGAGUAAUGAUUAAAGAUCAAUUAUUAUUUAAUUUGGAUUUGUAUCAUAAAACUGAUGUAAAUUAGGAAAUAAAUUCAUGUUAUUAUAAAUUAUAAUUAUUAAGUAACUUAUAUUUAUUAUUAAUUUGUGUAAUUAGUUCGAACGAAGGGGAUUUAAAGAGUUAUAUUUGGAAUAUAAAUUUGGAGUAUUAAUAAUUGAUAUAAGGCGAUGACUAAAGGCAUAUUAAAUAGAUUAUGAAUUAUUUUGGAAUUAUUAGUUUGGAUUGUUUUUAAUUUGAGGUGAAUAUGUUUAGGUUGCAAAUAACGUUUUGUAUUUGAUAUCGUUGGCAUUUGAGGGUAAGAUUUUAUGGAGUGUGCUAUGUUUGGAAGUAUCAGGUAUGGAUUCCGUACUCUUUCAGCGAUACUCUUAUUAAAUUUGAUUUGUUCGUUUGUUUCCUUAUUUCGAAUUAUGUUAUGAUUUCACAUAAUUAUUUCAUGUGAAAUAAAUAUAUUAGUUUCAUUUUGGAGUUGAUACACAUGACUCGUAUUUGUACUCUUUGAAUUAGGAUAUCAUGUUUAGUAUUUAUUUUUGAUAAUUAUAAAGUGGUACAUGUUGCUACCUUUUUUUUGAGAUCUUGUGACUAUAAUUUGAUUUGGUUCAACAUGUACAUAUAGAACCUUUUUGUUGGUAUUAUGUCGCAUGUGUUGUGACAUAGUAUUUUUGUUAGAAUAUACCGUAGGAUAUACCCGAGCUAUAACCACCUGUGGGGGUACCACAGGCAUGUCGUCUUGGCACGAGAGGCAUGACACUUUCCGUGGCGGUGUGAUUAGUCCACGGCGUCUCCGUUUGGGCUCCGGAGGAAGUGGGCCAUUUGGUGUUUUGUUGUGGGAGGCGUAUGGGUUAACCCUAGUUUUCUGUUCUGCGGAUUUGUGAUGUUGUGCCAAACACACCUAUCCGAUUUGCAUACAUUUGGAUUCGCGGUCCAAUGUGUGAUUUGCCUGUGUGGCAUUGUUUUGAUGUGCCUGUGUGGCAUUAUUUUGGUUGCCUAUGUGGCAUCAUUUGAUUUUUCUGUGUGGCAUUAGUUUGACUUGCCUAUGUGGCAAUGUAUAUUUCUGAGCUCAUUCGGUAUGAAAUAACUCCAGCCAUUUGUUUCAGCCUAUUAUUUUAUUGUAUUAGUUUUGUUGGUUUCUGUUCAGUUCAAUUCAUUGAGUUAGUUACUUUAGUUCCUUAUUUUUUUAUUCUUCUAUUGGUUUCGUCAAUUCUAUUGAUUCAGAUAUAUUCCAUUUGAAUAUUUAGAGAUUAUAUUUUCGUCAGUAUUUACACUUGAGGCUUUGUUCAGUAUUUUGUCUCAGUUGUUUUCGUAUAUCAGUUAUACAUCUUUGUAUUAUCUAUAUCCGUACUGGGCAAUUGGCUCAUGCUGUGUUUUUCUUCCGGCAGGUUUGCAGGGGUGAUUCAGGACUAGUGUGAUGAGAGUGCUACCUUUGACCAUCUAGGUUGAUUAAGUUUUUAGUUUUGAUUAUUUUCACUCUAGUUGGAGAAUUGUAUUUAGUACUUUAUUAAUUGAUCACCACUAUUAAUAUUUUGAGGUUGUUAGUGCUCUGUUUAUUUAUUUUAAAGUUUUUUGUGCUUUGCACGUGACCUCCCUUUCUUUUUCGGGAAGGGGGUGUUACAGUUUGCACUAGAAACGGUCUGCUUUUUGCCAUUAC